CCUAUCACAGGACCUCCUCUUCCUGAAGCAAUCUUCUUCUUCUCCACUCUCCCUUCAAAACCUAAAACAAAGUCUAAAAUGAAGAAAAAAAUAUAAUUUGCUAUGGCUACCUACUGCCUACUAUUUUUUCUCUAUUGCUGUAGUCCCUCUUUUCAUAGAGCAGCAAUCCAAAUUAAAAUCGAGUGGUAUUGGACUUUCAAUCAUGUUUAAAUAUCUCAACCCAUGCUCACCAUC
rnacentral:lncRNA from 1 species